rnacentral:rRNA from 1 species
CUGCUAUCGGAUGAUACUAAGCCAUGCGAGUCUUGUAGUAAUACAAGGCAGACGGCUCAGUAACACGUAGUCAACCUACCCUAUGGACAAGAAUAAUCUCGGGAAACUGGGCAUAAUUCUUGAUAGAUCAUAAUGCCUGGAAUGGUUUAUGGUUAAAAUGAUUCGUCGCCAUAGGAUGGGACUGCGGCCUAUCAGCUUGUUGGUGAGGUAAUGGCCCACCAAGGCGAUUACAGGUACGGGCUCUGAGAGGAGAAGCCCGGAGAUGGGUACUGAGACACGGACCCAGGCCCUAUGGGGCGCAGCAGGCGAGAAAACUUUGCAAUGUGCGAAAGCACGACAAGGUUAAUCCGAGUGAUUUCUGCUAAAGAAAUCUUUUGCCAGUCAUAAAACCACUGAUGAAUAAGGGGUGGGCAAGUUCUGGUGUCAGCCGCCGCGGUAAAACCAGCACCUCAAGUGGUCAGGAUGAUUAUUGGGCCUAAAGCAUCCGUAGCCGGCUUUGUAAGUUUUCGGUUAAAUCCAUGUGCUCAACGCAUGGGCUGCCGAAAAUACUGCAUGGCUAGGGAGUGGGAGAGGUAGACGGUACUCAGUAGGAAGGGGUAAAAUCCUUUGAUCUAUUGAUGACCACCUGUGGCGAAGGCGGUCUACCAGAACACGUUCGACGGUGAGGGAUGAAAGCUGGGGGAGCAAACCGGAUUAGAUACCCGGGUAGUCCCAGCUGUAAACGAUGCAGACUCGAUGAUGCAUUGGCAUAAUAGCCAGUGCAGUGUCGCAGGGAAGCCGUUAAGUCUGCCGCCUGGGAAGUACGUACGCAAGUAUGAAACUUAAAGGAAUUGGCGGGGGAGCACCACAAGGGGUGAAGCCUGCGGUUCAAU